rnacentral:rRNA from 1 species
GACGAACGCUGGCGGCGUGCCUAAUACAUGCAAGUCGAGCGAACAGACGAGGAGCUUGCUCCUCUGACGUUAUCGGCGGACGGGAGAGUAACACGUGGAUAACCUACCUAUCAGACUGGGAUAACUUCGGGAAACCGGAGCUACUACCGGAUAAUAUAUUGAACCGCAUGGUUCACUAGUGAAAGACGGUUUUGCUGUCACUUAUAGAUGGACCCGCGCCGCAUGCGUUAGUUGGUAAGGUAACGGCUUACCAAGGCAACGAUGCGUAGCCGACCUGAGAGGGUGGUCGGCCACACUGGAACGGAGACAGGUUCCAGACUCUGACAGGGAGCAGCGGUAGGGAAUCGUCCGCGAUGGGGGAAAGCCUGACAGAGCAACGCCGGGUGAAUGAUGAAGGUCUUCGGAUCGGAGAACGCUGAUAUUAUUGAAGAACAAAUGUGUAAUUAACUAGGCACGUCUUGACGGUACCUGAUCAGAAAGCCACGGCUAACUACGUG